rnacentral:rRNA from 1 species
CGAAUGCUGACAUAAGUAACGAUAAAGCGGGUGAAAAGCCCGCUCGCCGGAAGACCAAGGGUUCCUGUCCAACGUUAAUCGGGGCAGGGUGAGUCGACCCCUAAGGCGAGGCCGAAAGGCGUAGUCGAUGGGAAACAGGUUAAUAUUCCUGUACUUGGUGUUACUGCGAAGGGGGGACGGAGAAGGCUAUGUUGGCCGGGCGACGGUUGUCCCGGUUUAAGCGUGUAGGCUGGUUUUCCAGGCAAAUCCGGAAAAUCAAGGCUGAGGCGUGAUGACGAGGCACUACGGUGCUGAAGCAACAAAUGCCCUGCUUCCAGGAAAAGCCUCUAAGCAUCAGGUAACAUCAAAUCGUACCCCAAACCGACACAGGUGGUCAGGUAGAGAAUACCAAGGCGCUUGAGAGAACUCGGGUGAAGGAACUAGGCAAAAUGGUGCCGUAACUUCGGGAGAAGGCACGCUGAUAUGUAGGUGAAGUCCCUCGCGGAUGGAGCUGAAAUCAGUCGAAGAUACCAGCUGGCUGCAACUGUUUAUUAAAAACACAGCACUGUGCAAACACGAAAGUGGACGUAUACGGUGUGACGCCUGCCCGGUGCCGGAAGGUUAAUUGAUGGGGUUAGCGGUAACGCGAAGCUCUUGAUCGAAGCCCCGGUAAACGGCGGCCGUAACUAUAACGGUCCUAAGGUAGCGAAAUUCCUUGUCGGGUAAGUUCCGACCUGCACGAAUGGCGUAAUGAUGGCCAGGCUGUCUCCACCCGAGACUCAGUGAAAUUGAACUCGCUGUGAAGAUGCAGUGUACCCGCGGCAAGACGGAAAGACCCCGUGAACCUUUACUAUAGCUUGACACUGAACAUUGAGCCUUGAUGUGUAGGAUAGGUGGGAGGCUUUGAAGUGUGGACGCCAGUCUGCAUGGAGCCGGCCUUGAAAUACCACCCUUUAAUGUUUGAUGUUCUAACGUUGGCCCCUGAUCGGGGUUGCGGACAGUGUCUGGUGGGUAGUUUGACUGGGGCGGUCUCCUCCUAAAGAGUAACGGAGGAGCACGAAGGUUGGCUAAUCCUGGUCGGACAUCAGGAGGUUAGUGCAAUGGCAUAAGCCAGCUUGACUGCGAGCGUGACGGCGCGAGCAGGUGCGAAAGCAGGUCAUAGUGAUCCGGUGGUUCUGAAUGGAAGGGCCAUCGCUCAACGGAUAAAAGGUACUCCGGGGAUAACAGGCUGAUACCGCCCAAGAGUUCAUAUCGACGGCGGUGUUUGGCACCUCGAUGUCGGCUCAUCACAUCCUGGGGCUGAAGUAGGUCCCAAGGGUAUGGCUGUUCGCCAUUUAAAGUGGUACGCGAGCUGGGUUUAGAACGUCGUGAGACAGUUCGGUCCCUAUCUGCCGUGGGCGCUGGAGAACUGAGGGGGGCUGCUCCUAGUACGAGAGGACCGGAGUGGACGCAUCACUGGUGUUCGGGUUGUCAUGCCAAUGGCACUGCCCGGUAGCUAAAUGCGGAAGAGAUAAGUGCUGAAAGCAUCUAAGCACGAAACUUGCCCCGAGAUGAGUUCUCCCUGACUCCUUGAGAGUCCUGAAGGAACGUUGAAGACGACGACGUUGAUAGGCCGGGUGUGUAAGCGCAGCGAUGCGUUGAGCUAACCGGUACUAAUGAACCGUGAGGCUUAACCUU